UACAGAGGUCCCAAGCGUUGUUCGGAUUUACUGGGCGUAAAGGGUGCGUAGGUGGUGAGGUAAGUCUGAUGUGAAAUCUCCGAGUUCAACUCGGAAAUGGCAUUGGAAACUACCUUGCUAGAGGGUUGGAGGGGGGACUGGAAUACUUGGUGUAGCAGUGAAAUGCGUAGAUAUCAAGUGGAACACCAGUGGCGAAGGCGAGUCCCUGGACAACUCCUGACACUGAGGCACGAAAGCUAGGGGAGCAAACAGG
rnacentral:rRNA from 1 species